rnacentral:tRNA from 4 species
GGGCGAUUAGCUCAGUGGUAGAGCGCUUCGUUCACAUCGAAGAUGUCGGGGGUUCAAAUCCCUCAUCGCCCACCA